UACAGAGGGUGCGAGCGUUAAUCGGAAUUACUGGGCGUAAAGCGCACGUAGGCGGCUUGGUAUGUCGGGUGUGAAAUCCCCGGGCUCAACCUGGGAACUGCAUCCGAAACUGCCUUGCUCGAGUAUGGGAGAGGGAAGUGGAAUUUCCGGUGUAGCGGUGAAAUGCGUAGAUAUCGAGAGGAACACCUGCGGCGAAGGCGGGUUGCUGGGCUGACACUGACGCUGAUGUGCGAAAGCUAGGGGAGCGAACGGG
rnacentral:rRNA from 1 species